GAGCAUCCAAGAUGUCCCAUUCACAGUGGGACUUGAUGUCCAUGAAGGGCUCUAUUGCCCAAGGAUCCAGAAAAAAAGAAAGCAUUCUCCACCAAAGGAUCAGAAGGCUCCUCGAUCUUCGGGUUUGCAAUCUCCUCAAGCUUAGGUUUUGUCAUCUCCUCCACCAGAGUUAUCGGUGGACUAUGCUGUAGAUGGCUUGCUGGAUUAGCCAGGUUCUUCUUCUAACCAGCAGCAGGAUGCGUGUUUGGAGGGUUCCUCUCAUGACUCCAUCGUGAAGGGUUCUUUUGCAAUUUCAUGUGCUCAGCUUGAUCAAUUGGGCUUUGGUAACUCAUCUUCCUCAUACUGUUCAUUUUACUCAUCUACAGCAUGUUUUAUCUUCUGUGGAGUCUCGAUGGGAAGAUAUUAUUCAUACAAUUUCUCAAGAUGAACUAUAACUGAGAAUAGGGAGGCUGCAAUUGUAACUAGGGUUAGGGAUUGAGCUUAGCGGUGGUAAUUUUAGCUGACCUGUCGCCCAAUCCGAAUGGGAGGGAUUUUAUCCAAUCCGAUUGGAACUCAGGAUAGGUAUGAGUUCUAAAAAAAAUAUCCGAAGUGGGCUGCGAUUGGGUACGGAUAAUAUGCUUCGAUCUAAAUCCAAUUCAAUAUAAGCAUAAUAUAUAUUUUAUUUUUAAAAUUAUAAUAAUUUUAUAUAUUUACAUAUAUUUAACCCGACUUGAUCUGAUCAAUACUUUCUAUAUAUCUGAUUCAAUUUGAUCCGAUCUCUAUUUGACCCAACCCCAAGAUAAGUAUGAGGUGGAUAUGGGUAUGAAAUUUUUACUUGAAGGAUAGGUAUGGGAAUGGACUGAUCUGGUAUCCGGCUUGGUGCCGUCCCUAAUUGGGCUUUUUGUAUUGGAUCUGCUAUUAGGGGUGAAGAGGGGUCUCUAAAUUUUUUCCGGUUAUCUGGAUGCAGGUUCUUGUUUGGAGUUGGCAUGGGACUGCUAAGCCUUUUUUUAUCACUUUAAGUCUUUGAUCCAUCAGCAUCAACCUGAUAUUUGCUAUUUUUUUUGGAGACAAGACUCGCUGAAGAGUCUUUGCCUCAUGUUUGUAACCUUUUAGCCAUGUUUGGAAUGUGUAUUUUGUUUCUAGCUCAGGGUUUGUCAAGUGGUAUCAUUAUUGCAUGUCGUAAAGGGUUAGGUCCGGUGGAUUUUCCAUAUAGAUUGCCCAAUAGUUUUUCGAGUAUUGAUUACUACACCAUCCUUUUCUUCUUGGAUCUUGGGGGUUUUAUAUGCUAGUACAAAUGUGCUCUGCAGAAGGGUCAUUUGGAAUCAAUUGUUCAGGUUUUGUAGUUGGAUCUUCCAUUUGCUUUAAUUGGUGAUUUCAAUUGCAUAUUAAAUCAAGAUGAUAAGCUUUUUUUACUAAAUUGGGUAUUCGGGAGUUUUGAUAGCUUCUCUGUACUAUUGGCCUGGUUGAUUUAGGGUUUCAGGGUCUUUAUACUUGGUGCAAUAAUUAGCAUGAUUCUAUGCGAAGUUGGGAGAGGCUGGAUUAGGCUUUUGCAUUUGAUAGCCAGUUAAACAUGUAUAUAGAAUCUAAAGUGUCACAUCUAUUCCGCUUUGCAUUUGAUCAUUGUCUUUUGCUUUGGUCAAGUCUCGAGGUCCUGCUCUUUUUUGUUUUGAAUGUUUUUGUCUUUUUUGUCAAGGAGUCCAGGAUGUGGUGCAUCAGGCAUGAAUAUGUGAUGGUUCUCAUUCACCAGAUGUUUGAUUGUCUCUCCUAUUACAAAUACCUCUAAAGCAUUUUGCUAGUGGAAUCAGACUAAUGUUGGUAACAUAUUUUACUAUGGUGAAGCUUUACAUCAGGAAUUGCAGCAUCUUCAAGAGGCAGAAGUUCAAUUUGGGCCCUAAAGUUAUUCCGAUCAUGCUCGUCUUAUAACUGUGUUGCAAUCUCAUCAUGAGACUUUAUGGCUCCAAGAGGUCUUUUGGCACCAAAAAUCUUAGGUCCGGUCGUUAUUGGAAGCUAGUAUCAAUACUAAAUUUUUUCAUCGCUCUACACUUUUGCGACGGCAGCCCAAUUGUAUCUCUCGGUUAAUUACUCAUCAAGGGCAGGUUGUUAAUAAUGAAGCAGCUAUUAGGUAGUUAUUGUUGGCCUCUUUUUGAACCGUUGUGUUUUAGGAGAUGUCUUUACUUUUGCCAUCUUCUUACCUGUCUGCUGCCCAAAAUGAGUCGUUAGUUCAAGUAGUCACUAAAGAAGUGGUUGAGGGAGCCAUGUUUAGUAUGCAGUUUGAUAAGGCCCCCAGACCAAAUGGGUUUCAGUCUUUCUUUUUUCUUGAGUUCUGGCAUAUUGUCCAUUUGGAUGUCAUUAAUGCUAUAAAGCACUUUUUUCAACAUGAUCUUAUGCCAGUUUCUUGAAAGCAGCCGUUUAUCACUUUAUUGCCAAAAAAAUCUAAUUCGAAAAGGGUAGUGGAUUAUAGACCGAUUAGUCUACGCAAUAUCAUCUAUAAGUUGGUGCUAAAAUUUUGGUGUGUAAACUGCAACCAUUGCUUCGGAGGUUAGUUUCUAAUGAAUAGGGAGUAUUUGUUCAG